rnacentral:rRNA from 1 species
CGGCGAGCGAAGCGGGAAGAGCUCAAAUUUAUAAUCUGGCACCUUCGGUGUCCGAGUUGUAAUCUCUAGAAAUGUUUUCCGCGUUGGACCGCACACAAGUCUGUUGGAAUACAGCGGCAUAGUGGUGAGACCCCCGUAUAUGGUGCGGACGCCCAGCGCUUUGUGAUACAUUUUCGAAGAGUCGAGUUGUUUGGGAAUGCAGCUCAAAUUGGGUGGUAAAUUCCAUCUAAAGCUAAAUAUUGGCGAGAGACCGAUAGCGAACAAGUACCGUGAGGGAAAGAUGAAAAGCACUUUGGAAAGAGAGUUAACAGUACGUGAAAUUGUUGGAAGGGAAACGCUUGAAGUCAGACUUGCUUGCCGAGCAAUCGGUUUGCAGGCCAGCAUCAGUUUUCCGGGAUGGAUAAUUGGUAGAGAGAAGGUAGCAGUUUCGGCUGUGUUAUAGCUCUCUGCUGGAUACAUCUUGGGGGACUGAGGAACGCAGUGUGCCUUUGGCGGGGGUUUCGACCUCUUCACACUUAGGAUGCUGGUGGAAUGGCUUUAAACGACCCG